rnacentral:rRNA from 1 species
UACGGGGGGGGUAAGCGUUGUUCGGAAUUACUGGGCGUAAAGGGCUCGUAGGCGGCCAACUAAGUCAUACGUGAAAUCCCUCAGCUUAACUGGGGAACUGCGUGUGAUACUGGAUGGCUUGGAUUUGGGAGAGGGAUGCGGAAUUCCAGGUGUAGCGGUGAAAUGCGUAGAUAUCUGGAGGAACACCGGUGGCGAAGGCGGCAUCCUGGACCGACACUGACGCUGAGGCGCGAAAGCUAGGGGAGCAAACGGG